CUCCAGACUCCUACGGGAGGCAGCAGUGAGGAAUAUUGGUCAAUGGGCUUACGCCUGAACCAGCCAAGUCGCGUGAGGGAAGACUGCCCUAUGGGUUGUAAACCUCUUUUGUCAGGGAGCAAUUGGCGCUACGUGUAGCGUUAUCGAGAGUACCUGAAGAAAAAGCAUCGGCUAACUCCGUGCCAGCAGCCGCGGUAAUACGGAGGAUGCGAGCGUUAUCCGGAUUUAUUGGGUUUAAAGGGUGCGUAGGCGGAAGGUUAAGUCAGCGGUCAAAUGUCGGUGCUCAACACCGGCCUGCCGUUGAAACUGGGGAUCUAGAGUGUGCGAGAGGUAUGCGGAAUGCGUGGUGUAGCGGUGAAAUGCAUAGAUAUCACGCAGAACCCCGAUUGCGAAGGCAGCAUACCGGUGCACAACUGACGCUCAGGCACGAAAGCGUGGGUAUCGAACAGGAUUAGAUACCCGGGUA
rnacentral:rRNA from 1 species